CCCCCCCCCCCCCCCCCCCCCCCCUCCCCGAGCCGCCGCCGGUGCUCCUCCUGUCGCCCAGAGCAGGGCGGCCGGCGCGCCCCCCUCUUCUCCCCACCCAACGCUGGUGCCGGUUGGUUGCUCCUUCAUCGUCGAGGGACGUUCGGGGAAGGACCAGAGGUGGGGCGCCGGCGGCAGGGAGCUAGGUGAGGCGGAGGGUCCCGUCUCCGGCGACGAAGCCAUGGAUGUUCAACCAGAACAUCAUGUUCGCGUUGACCUCUGUGGGCUGCUGCUUCUCCAACAUCGUCUGCAAGAAGUGGUACAUCGACAUGAACAAUAGGGCUGGAGAGUUCAAGGAGCCGGACUGGUUCUUGAACAGAAAGAAGGGCGGCAUGUUCCUGACCAGGAAGGACUACAACUUUAUUUGGUUCCCAAAUUUUUCAUAAGAAUCUGCAACCGUAUGAGUAGCAAGUAAAUUUGGCAUAGCUAUUCAAUUCAGCGCAUCUUGCAGUACAGUACUGCGGUGCACGGAGAAGCGGCGCAACCUGUGGCGCGAGCUGCUGUACAUGAGCGGCGGAGGGAUGGACCUUUUUGUUGUUCCCCGCUCACGAGCUGUUCUCGGUACGCGCUGUUCUUGGUGCGGUUUAGCUCAUGGGGAAAAUAAGGAGAUGUUUCUUCAAGUAAUUUGGGAUUUGGUCUUUAAGCUACGAUUCCACACCAAGAUUAUGUUCUCUGGAGCUAACCGUGCUGCUGUGCUGGACAGGCAGAUGAGGGCCGGCCUGCUGCCGAUACAAGCCGUCGAGGUGGACGGCCAGCACUAAAUCAUUUGCAGGUAUCUAGAGUUACAUUCCGGUGGCUGAGAUGCAUAUAGUUGUUGGCUGUAGUUCCUUCCAUUUGUCCGCUCGACGUGGAGAUUGACCCUCUAUGUAGCAUGCAACACUCAGCUGGGAAAUGCACUUAUAGGAACUAAUCACUUACUUUGCUGAACUCAGUCUGUUGUCCAGUUUCCGCAGACAUUUGUCAGCUGGCAAGAAGGUUGAAGGCACAUCGACUUGCUUCGAUUAAUUGGUGGUGCGGGCUGGACGACACCGAAGUAGUCAUCUUCGCCGGCCCCCUCACUGCGUACGCAUACUCCUUCAAUUUUUCCCUCCUACUGGUACA